AGAGUUUGAUCCUGGCUCAGGAUGAACGCUAGCUACAGGCUUAACACAUGCAAGUCGAGGGGAAACGACAUUGAAAGCUUGCUUUUGAUGGGCGUCGACCGGCGCACGGGUGAGUAACGCGUAUCCAACCUGCCCAUCACUUGGGGAUAACCUUGCGAAAGUAAGACUAAUACCCAAUGACGUCUCUAGAAGACAUCUGAAAGAGAUUAAAGAUUUAUCGGUGAUGGAUGGGGAUGCGUCUGAUUAGCUUGUUGGCGGGGUAGCGGCCACCGAAGGCGACGAUCAGUAGGGGUUCUGAGAGGAAGGUUCCCCACAUUGGAACUGAGACACGGUCCAAACGUCCUACGGGAGGCA
rnacentral:rRNA from 1 species